GACGAACGCUGGCGGCGUGCUUAACACAUGCAAGUCGAACGAAGUGGCGAACGGGUGAGUAACGCGUAAUCAACCAGCCCUUCAGAGGGGGACAACAGUUGGAAACGAAUGCUAAUACCGCAUACAGAAGGAGGGGUUUGCGUCUGAUUCGCUAGUUGGGGGGGUAACGGCCCACCAAGGCGAGGAUCAGUAGCCGGUCUGAGAGGGUGAACGGGCACAUUGGGACUGAGACACGGCCCAGGCUCCUACGGGCGGCAGCAGUGGGGGAUCUUCCGAAAUGGACGAAAGUCUGACGGAGCAACGCCGCGUGAGUGAUGACGGCCUUCGGGUUGUAAAGCUCUGUUAAUCGGGACGCGGUACCGGAAUAGAAAGCCACGGCUAACUACGUGCCAGCAGCCGUGGUAAUAC
rnacentral:rRNA from 1 species